rnacentral:rRNA from 1 species
UACGGAGGGGGCUAGCGUUGUUCGGAAUUACUGGGCGUAAAGCGCACGUAGGCGGCUUUGUAAGUUAGAGGUGAAAGCCCGGGGCUCAACUGAGGAAGUGCAUCUGAAACUGGCGAGCUAGAGUAUGUAAGAGGGUCGCGGAAUUCCCGGUGUAGAGGUGAAAUUCGUAGAUAUCGGGAGGAACACCGGUGGCGAAGGCGGCGACCUGGGACAAUACUGACGCUGAGGUGCGAAAGCGUGGGGAGCAAACAGG